GGAGCUCCCCUAGUUACAUUCAGGAAGAAGAGACAGAUUUGGAUCUCACUCGUAGAGUUUAUGGCCUAGAGAAGAAGCCUAUGCUGCCUUCUAUUUAAAGAGAGACUCAAAGUCUGGGCCUGUACUGGGAAACGUAGAAGAAGAUAUGAGGCCACAUGGAACAUUCUGGGGUAACCAGGAGGCAGAACGCAGAAAGGAUCUAAAGCCAAGGCAAGGAAAGCAGCUCCCAAUGUGGUAAUGGGAGGAUGAAGACGAACUUUGCCUACUUCAUUUGGGAGCAGGCAAGCCAUCCCUGCAGGAGAUGCCCGUUUUUCUCCCUCUCCUUGUCUAAAGUAGAACCUGUUGACAAAUGCCUCUCUCUGAAUUGCCCAACUGUCACUGGCAGCUCUAAUUACAGUGAAUUACCUCAUGCUAGCUGGUGUUAUUGCAGAGCAAACAUCAAGUAAGCUAAACAAACUAAGAGAAAUGUGUCCUCAUGGAUCUUCUUGCUCUGAU
rnacentral:lncRNA from 1 species